ACUCAACACGAAUUCUUUAAAAAGGAUAAGUCUAAGUUGUAAAAGCGGGCCGUGUCCUUUCCGGGUAACCGGAAAAGGAGAGCGGAUUCUUGAUCAACUUGUUAGUCCUAAACUUGAUUUUAAGGAGUUU
rnacentral:sRNA from 2 species